GACGAACGCUGGCGGCGUGCUUAACACAUGCAAGUCGAACGGAAAGGCUCCAGCUUGCUGGAGUACUCGAGUGGCGAACGGGUGAGUAACACGUGGGUGAUCUGCCCUGCACUUCGGGAUAAGCCUGGGAAACUGGGUCUAAUACCGGAUAGGACCGCACUUUGGUGUGUGUGGUGGAAAGGUUUUUCUGUUGUGGGGUGAGCUUGCGGCCUAUCAGUUUGUUGGUGGGGUGAUGGCCUACCACGACGUCGACGGGUAGCCGGACUGAGAGGGUGGACGGGCGCCUUGGGACUGAGAGGCGGCCCAGACAGCGAAGGGAGGCAGAAGUGGGGAAGAUUGACGAAUGGGGGAAGCCCUGGUGCAGAGACGCCGCGGGGCGGAUGAAGGCCUUCGGGUUGAAAAAUCAUUUCGCUAGGGACGAAGCUUUUUGUGACGGUACCUGGAGAAGAAGCACCGGCUAACUACGUG
rnacentral:rRNA from 1 species